CAAUGUUUCAUGAGACAUCGCGUUAACAAGAGUUUGAAAAGUGGUCAAACUGUCAUGGUGGCCUUGAAAAUAAGGUCGAGGUCAUCAAAAUCCACUGGUGUGUGGGUAAUCCCCUAAUAUAGGCUGUCACCAAAUUU